UACGUAGGGGGCAAGCGUUGUCCGGAUUUAUUGGGCGUAAAGAGCGUGUAGGCGGCCAGGUAGGUCUGCUGUGAAAACUGGAGGCUCAACCUUCAGAGGUCGACCGAAACCAUCUGGCUAGAGUCCGGAGAGGAGAGUGGAAUUCCCAGUGUAGCGGUGAAAUGCGUAGAUAUUGGGAGGAACACCAGUGGCGAAGGCGGCUCACUGGACCGGUACUGACGCUGAGACGCGAAGGCGUGGGAGCGAACGGGG
rnacentral:rRNA from 1 species